ACAGGUGACUGAUGUCCAGCGAGAAGGUGAACGUGACAUAUACGCCCGUCAGCUGCAAGAAAGGAACCACAAGACAGAACCUUUGCUUCUUGGUUAAACUGUGUCUCCUCUGUGCAGUUUCUGCAAAGACGUAAAAACUGACUCCUGGGGAUAUUCUUUAACCAAAUGGGCCUAAAGCUAAGCUGACAUUUCCUAUUCUGUCUGUGGUGAUAAGGAGGAGGCUGCUGGAAAGUGAUCUGUACAGCAUUACAGUGAAAGGGUAUUGGUGGACUAUUUAUGAGCUCGGAUUCCAGGCAGGGAUCUGCUCAUUCUCCUUCAACAUCAACAAGGCAUUUUCGUCCACACAAGUGUCGCUAACUGGAUAUUUUCUCUGUAAACCCUAGAGACGGUUGUGUGUGAAAAUCCCAGUAGAUCAGCAGUUCCUGAAAUACUCAGACCAGCCUGUCUUGCACCAACAACCAUUACACAUUAAACAUUACUUAAAUACCCUUUGUUCCCCUUUUUUUUUUUUACUUGAGCAAGUUGUCUGGACAACAUGUACAUGCCAAAAUGCAUUGAGUUGCUGCCAUGUGAUUAUCUGAUUACCUAUUAGUGUUAACAAGCAAUUGAACAGGUGUAACUAAUAAAUGGACAGUGGGGGAGAUUUAUCAAAACUUGUGUAGAGGAAGAAGAGUGGUGAAGUAAAUUCAAAUGGAUUUCUUGGCAUUUCCACUGAAAGGUGUGUUAUGUACAAACGUGACCAUAUACAACUUGGGCAAAUGUACAAAGAUCACAGAGAAGCCCAACUUACAAUGUCAUAAUAAUGUCUAAUAAUUAAUGCGGCACAAAUAUUACUGCUACAAUGUGUCAUAUGUCGUAUUUUAAGAAAAUAAUAAAAAGGAAAAAGAAAAUGAAGAAGAUAAACAAAAACACCUGCACAAACAUCAUUACCAAAAACCACAUUUAAUAUGUUCUUAGCAACCUAAUAAAAUAAAAUACAACCAUCUGACAAAUUUUGGCUCAGAAAAGACUGCUGAUCUCAAACAGUGUCACAGUUAAAUGCAGAGUCAAAGUUGUAGCAUUUUUUUUUUUUUUUUUUUUUAAACCUCCUGUAAAUAUUUUUCCAUCAAAAAGCCACUUAAAAAGGUAUGGCCGCCAGUUUUUUUUUUGGUUUAUUUAUUUUAUUUUUUAACUCCACCACAAAUACUUUUAAAAAUAUAACAGAUUUGCAACUGGUCUUAAUCCUUAAUGUAACAUUUUCUAACAUUUGUCUUCUGCAGCUUGCAUAUUUUAAAAUACAGUACAAGCUGCUGAGUGCCGUAUAGUGCUCUGUUUUGUUUAUUAAAUUAUUUUUUAGGUUUUAUCUUUAAUAGCAUUCAGGAGUGAAAGCGGAUGGCUGCACAUGGCAGAAUUUGUGCGGACAUUCCACGCGUUUGCCCAAUACGGCGGCGCUGAUACCGAUCGGAAAUGUGCCAUUUCCUUGCGAUGUCCACAGAAAGAAUAGACAUGACUAUUCAUUCUGCAGAUGCCGGAAUUUGAAUUUCAGCGGCAGAAACAUCUGGCGCGUAAAUUCGGCAGUGUGAACAGUGCAAUCAAUGGGACUCUGUUGCAGCACAAUAUCCGGCGCAGAAUAUUCUAUGCAAAUUCCGCAGUGUAAAUUAAAAACAAUUGCACAUGUUUUAUUUAUGAAAGUACAUAUAGUCAUGGCCGUAAAUGUUGGCACCCCUGAAAUUUUUCAAGAAAAUUAAGUAUUUCUCACAGAAAAGCAUUGCAGUAACAAAAGUAUUUGCUAUACACAUGUUUAUACACAUGUAUUUGUGUGUAUCGGAACUAAACCAAAAAAGGGAGGAAAAAAAGCUAAUUGGACAUAAUGUCACACCAAACUCCAAAAAUGGGCUGGACAAAAUUAUUGGCACCCUUUCAAAAUUGUGGUUAAUAAGAUUGUUUCAAGCAUGUGAUGCGCCUUUGAACUCACCUGGGGCAAGUAACAGGUGUGGGCAAUAGAAAAAUCACACCUCAAAGCAGAUAAAAAGGAGAGAAGUUCCCUUACUCUUUGCAUUGUGUGUCUGUGUGUGCCACACUAAGCAUGGGCAACAGAAAGAUUAGAAGAGAAUUGUCUGAUGACCCGAGAACCAAAAUUGUGGAAAAAUAUCAUCAAUCUCAAGAUUACAAGUCCACUCCAGAGAUCUAGAUUUGCCUUUGUCCACAGUGUGCAACAUUAUCAAGAAGUUUGCAACCUAUGGCAAUGUAGCUAAUCUCCCUGGGCGUGGACGGAAGAGAAAAAUUGAUGAAUGGUGUUGACGCUGGUUAGUCCAGUUGGUGGAUAAGCAGCCCCAAACAAGUUCCAAAGAUAUUCAAGCUGUCCUGCAGGCUCAGGGAGCAUCAGUGUCAGCGUGAACUAUCCGUCGACAUUUAAAUGAAAUGAAACACUAUGGCAGGAGACCCAGGAGGACCCCACUGCUGACACAGAGACAUAAAAAAGCAAGACUACAUUUUGCCAAAAUGAACUUGAGUAAGCAAAAAUCCUUCUGGGAAAAUGUCUUGUGGACAGAUGAGACCAAGAUAGAGCUUUUUGGUAAAGCACAUAAUUCUACUGUUUACUGAAAACAGAAUGGGGUCUACAAAGAAAAGAGCACAGUACCUACAGUGAAAUAUGGUGGAGGUUCAAUGAUGUUUUGGGGUUGUUUUUCUGCCUCUGGCACUGGGUGCCUUGAAUGUGUACAAGGCAUCAUGAAAUCUGAGGAUUACCAAUGGAUUUUGGGUCAGACUGUACAGCCCAGUGUCAGAAAGCUGGGUUGGUGUCAGAGAUCUUGGGUCUUCCAGCAGGACAAUGACCCCAAACAUACGUAUAAAAGCACCCAGAAAUAGAUGACAACAAAGCGCUGGAGAGUUCUGAAGUGGCCAGCAAUGAGUCCAGAUCUAAAUCCCAUUGAACACCUGUGGAGAGAUCUUAAAAUUGCUGUUGGGAAAAGGCGCCCCUCCAAUAAGAGAGACCUGGAGCAGUUUGCGGAGGAAGAGGGGUCCAACAUUCCGGCUGAGAGGUGUAAGAAGCUUAUUGAUGGUUAUAGGAAGCGACUGAAUAAGGGAAUAAACAUGUAUAGCAAAACACGUGUUACUGCAAUCAUUUUCUGUGAGAAAUACUUCAUUUUCUUGAAAAAUUUCAGGGGUGCCAACAUUUACGGCCAUGACUGUACAAUACAAUAAAAAAAUGUUCUAAGAAGUCCAAACCUUUAAGUUUAUUGGUGUUGCAAAUGAAUAAUACAGGUGUAUAGUAUAUGUAAACUUUACGUGGCCUAUGUCUCACCGAAUAGACUGUCUUUAACGGAUAAAGAGAUUUCAAAAAGCAAAAAAAAAGCAUUACUAAUCUGCACAGGUACUUAGAAUUCCUAUGAUAUUAGCUCUUUAUAUAACUUGUGUUGAGAGCUGCACAGUAUAUCAAUUUUCAUUUUAUAUAUGUUGUUCUUUUGUUUACCUACAUCAAUGUUUUCCAAACACUGUGUCUCCAGCUGUUGCAAAACUACAACUCCCAGCAUGCCCGGACAGCCAAAGGCUGGGAGUUGUAGUUUUGCAACAGCUGGAGACAUACUGUUUGGAAUUCAUUAGCCUAAACCAUUAAAAGGGAACAAGGGUUCUGCUAAGCCCUUGAUUUUUAACCCCUGUCUUCCAUGGCAGGCCUACCCAAGACCACUCCUACAAUUUGAGGUUAUAAUCUUUUUUCUGUAUCAUUAGGGUAUGCACCUUUAUACUUUGAACUUUAUUAUUAUUACU